rnacentral:rRNA from 1 species
UCGUUUAAAGCCAUUACGUCAGCAUCCUUAGCAAAAUUUUUGAUCGCUCUAACUUAUGACACCAUUACUCACCGGUACCAAGAAUGUUGAUACAAGCGAGAUGACGUCCAGAGAUCAGCGACAAGCCAAAGGCAUUUGCUGCAAUUCCUCGAUCCCACAGGCUGCAUCACCCAAGGUUAUAACACUCUCCCGAAGCAGAGCUACUUUUCCCCAA